UUUUCCGUCGGUGCGACACUCUCCGCAGCCCGUCGUGCUCACUCCUCGUUGUAUGCAGCGUUUCCGCGUGCGUCAACGACUGCCUCGCGUGCAUGUUUAAGGCAGCCUAGGUUUAACUGAGACGAUUUCAACGUUCUCUUCUAUAGUAUGUGCCUGUUUCGUCGACACAAGGAACCCGGCCUAAAGUGUGGUGAAGUGGAGCGCUACGGAAGUUUCCUCGUGUGAGCUCCACAAGGUUGUGCCCUCCCUGCGACCUGGGCCGCUGUUGCGGCGAGUGCCAGUCUGACCAUUUCGCUUGCGGACAUGAGUAGCCGCAAGGUGAAUCACAAAUACCAAAGAAAUGCUCCCGACAAGAACACCGGCAUGUGACGAGAGUCGUGCUUCGAAGUAGACACGCCAGUCGCACGCUACAGACUGGUGCUGUCCAGGUAUUCCAGCCGAGCAGCAUUCCCUGUGCGCAGCUAGGUCAAUUCUACGCGAGCCACCCCUGGCACCUCCACUUGUGCCUGACCGUGUCUGCGCUACGUGGCUUCUGGAGGAUCGACAUCGACUUGGUAUCGUCGUUUUGUACGACCUUUAGCGUCGUGUCAUUCGCACAUGGAACUCUCGGGCACUUGUCCCUCCUGCACUGACCUCAUCGCAGGUUAUAUACGCCAGAACACAGCGAGCUCAGUGCUUGCUGCUAUACUGAAAAGCGCGUGGCGCCAUCUGUUUCAAGUGCGGCUAAGCAACCCCCUCAACUGUCACGCGAGCAGACGCUCUGCAAAUCAUAUGCGAAACUUUACAAAUCGAGUGCGGCUGUAAGCAUGUCUUGCGCUGUUCCUUUGCUGAAAUUUUGUGCUUAUUUCGUGUGAAACGUCGAGGAGACCUUCCUCGACAGUCCGGAAU